rnacentral:piRNA from 1 species
UUAUAUGAUUAGUUCUUGAUU